GGAGGAUCCAAGCGUUAUCCGGAAUCAUUGGGUUUAAAGGGUCCGUAGGCGGUUUAUUAAGUCAGUGGUGAAAUCUGGUCGCUCAACGAUCAAACGGCCAUUGAUACUGAUAGACUUGAAUUAUUGGGAAGUAACCAGAAUAUGUAGUGUAGCGGUGAAAUGCUUAGAUAUUACAUGGAAUACCAAUUGCGAAGGCAGGUUACUACCAAUGGAUUGACGCUGAUGGACGAAAGCGUGGGGAGCGAACAGGAUUAGAUACCCUGGUAGUCAACGCCGUAAACGACGGAUACUAGCUGUUCGGAGCAAUCUGAGUGGCUAAGCGAAAGUGAUAAGUAUCCCACCUGGGGAGUACGUUCGCAAGAAUG
rnacentral:rRNA from 1 species